rnacentral:rRNA from 1 species
UACAGGGGGGGCAAGCGUUGUUCGGAAUUACUGGGCGUAAAGGGCCUGUAGGUGGCUUGCUAAGUCAGACGUGAAAUCCCUCAGCUUAACUGGGGAACUGCGUCUGAUACUGGCAAGCUUGAGUGCAGGAGAGGAACGCGGAAUUCCAGGUGUAGCGGUGAAAUGCGUAGAUAUCUGGAGGAACACCGGUGGCGAAGGCGGCGUUCUGGACUGCAACUGACACUGAGAGACGAAAGCCAGGGGAGCAAACGGG